rnacentral:rRNA from 1 species
GCUAAUCCCCCGUAAGGUGACGAAAACGCAUGUUUUUGUCAUUAUAGAUUUAUCGCUUAGGGAGGAGUUUGCGUCUGAUUAGCUAGAUGGCGGAGUAAUAGCCCACCAUGGCUAUGAUCAGUAGCUGGUCUGAGAGGAUGAUCAGCCACACUGGGACUGAGAUACGGCCCAGACUCCUACGGGAGGCAGCAGUGAGGAAUAUUGCGCAAUGGGCGAAAGCCUGACGCAGCAACGCCGCGUGUAGGAUGAAAUCCUUCGGGAUGUAAACUACUGUUGAAGGGGAAGAAUAUCCUGAUUUAUCGGGAGAUGACGGUACCCUUAGAGAAAGCCACGGCUAACUCUGUGCCAGCAGCCGCGGUAAUACAGGGGUGGCAAGCGUUGUCCGGAAUUACUGGGUGUAAAGGGUGCGUAGGCGGGUGAAUAAGUCAGUGGUAAAAUCCUACAGCUCAACUGUAGACCCACCAUUGAUACUGUCCAUCUUGAGUACGAGAGAGAAGAGU